GAUUCCCUAGUACUGCGAGUGAAGCGGGAAAAGCUCAAAUUUAAAAUCCUUCGGGAGUUGUAAUCUGUAGAAGUGUUUUCGGUCGUUGCCUCGGAUAAGUCUCUUGGAACAGAGUGUCAUAGAGGGUGAGAAUCCCGUCCUUGCCGAGCUCCCAGCGUCCUUGUGAUACACUUUCAACGAGUCGAGUUGUUUGGGAAUGCAGCUCAAAAUGGGUGGUAAACUCCAUCUAAAGCUAAAUAUUGGCGAGAGACCGAUAGCGAACAAGUACCGUGAGGGAAAGAUGAAAAGAACUUUGGAAAGAGAGUUAAACAGUACGUGAAAUUGUUAAAAGGGAAACGCUUGGAGUCAGUCGCGUUGCAGGGACUCAGCCUUACGGUGUACUUUUCUGCAACGGGUCAACAUCAGUUUCGGCCGCGGGAUAAGAGUCGGGGGAAUGUGGCUCUCUCGGGAGUGUUAUAGCCUCUGGCUGUACACCGCGGCGGGGACUGAGGUCUGCUUAAAGGAUGUUGACGAAAUGGCUCUAAGCGACCCGUCUUGA
rnacentral:rRNA from 1 species